rnacentral:rRNA from 1 species
GAUGAACGCUGGCUACAGGCUUAACACAUGCAAGUCGAGGGGAAACGACGGGGAAGCUUGCUUCCCCGGGCGUCGACCGGCGCACGGGUGAGUAACGCGUAUCCAACCUGCCUCUGACUGAGGGAUAACCCGUCGAAAGUCGGCCUAAUACCUCAUGGCAUCGUCUGCGGGCAUCCAACGACGAUUAAAGAUUUCAUCGGUCAGGGAUGGGGAUGCGUCUGAUUAGCUUGUUGGCGGGGUAACGGCCCACCAAGGCGACGAUCAGUAGGGGUUCUGAGAGGAAGGUCCCCCACAUUGGAACUGAGACACGGUCCAAACUCCUACGGGGGGCAGCAGUGAGGAAUAUUGGUCAAUGGGCGAGAGCCUGAACCAGCCAAGUAGCGUGCAGGAUGACGGCCCUAUGGGUUGUAAACUGCUUUUAUGCGGGGAUAAAGUGAGGGACGUGUCCUUCAUUGCAGGUACCGCAUGAAUAAGGACGGC